rnacentral:rRNA from 1 species
UGGGGAAUUUUGGACAAUGGGCGAAAGCCUGAUCCAGCAAUGCCGCGUGUGUGAAGAAGGCCUUCGGGUUGUAAAGCACUUUUGUCCGGAAAGAAAUCCUUGGCUCUAAUACAGUCGGGGGAUGACGGUACCGGAAGAAUAAGCACCGGCUAACUACGUGCCAGCAGCCGCGGUAAUACGUAGGGUGCAAGCGUUAAUCGGAAUUACUGGGCGUAAAGCGUGCGCAGGCGGUUUGCUAAGACCGAUGUGAAAUCCCCGGGCUCAACCUGGGAACUGCAUUGGUGACUGGCAGGCUAGAGUAUGGCAGAGGGGGGUAGAAUUCCACGUGUAGCAGUGAAAUGCGUAGAGAUGUGGAGGAAUACCGAUGGCGAAGGCAGCCCCCUGGGCCAAUACUGACGCUCACGCACGAAAGCGUGGGGAGCAAACAGGAUUAGAUACCCUGGUAGUCCACGCCCUAAACGAUGUCAACUAGUUGUUGGGGAUUCAUUUCCUUAGUAACGUAGCUAACGCGUGAAGUUGACCGCCUGGGGAGUACGGUCGCAAGAUUAAAACUCAAAUGAAUUGACGGGGUCAUAGCUG